rnacentral:rRNA from 1 species
CGACCGGCGCACGGGUGCGUAACGCGUAUGCACCUACCUUUAACAGGGGGAUAACACUGAGAAAUUGGUACUAAUACCCCAUAAUAUCAUAGAAGGCAUCUUUUAUGGUUGAAAAUUCCGAUGGUUAGAGAUGGGCAUGCGUUGUAUUAGCUAGUUGGUGGGGUAACGGCUCACCAAGGCGACGAUACAUAGGGGGACUGAGAGGUUAACCCCCCACACUGGUACUGAGACACGGACCAG